rfam:Tetrahymena thermophila SB210 genomic scaffold scf_8254666, whole genome shotgun sequence.
UUCAUGAUGAUAUAAAUAUGGAAUUACCGUCUGAAUUUAGAUUGAUGGAAAAAUUUUGCUAAACUGAUAGAAUAUUCAAACAUUUCUCACAGUUAAAUGACUGAAGAA